rnacentral:rRNA from 1 species
CACGCCGUAAACGAUGAGUACUAGGUGUCGGAGGUAUCGACCCCUUCUGUGCCGCAGUAAACACAAUAAGUACUCCGCCUGGGAAGUACGAUCGCAAGAUUAAAACUCAAAGGAAUUGACGGGGGCCCGCACAAGCAGCGGAGCAUGUGGUUUAAUUCGAAGCAACGCGAAGAACCUUACCUGGACUUGACAUACCCUGAAUAUCGUAGAGAUAAGAGAAGCCCUUCGGGGCAGGGAGACAGGUGG